rnacentral:rRNA from 1 species
UACGUAGGGUGCGAGCGUUAAUCGGGAUUACUGGGCGUAAAGCGUGCGCAGGCGGUUAUUUAAGUCAGGUGUGAAAGCCCUGGGCUUAACCUAGGAAUUGCGCUUGAGACUGGAUAGCUUGGAGUGCGGCAGAGGGAGGUGGAAUUCCACGUGUAGCAGUGAAAUGCGUAGAGAUGUGGAGGAACACCGAUGGCGAAGGCAGCUUGCUGGGACGGUACUGACGCUGAGGCGCGAAAGCGUGGGGAGCAAACAGG